rnacentral:rRNA from 1 species
UGGGGAAUAUUGCACAAUGGGCGAAAGCCUGAUGCAGCAACGCCGCGUGAGCGAUGAAGGCCUUCGGGUCGUAAAGCUCUGUCCUCAAGGAAGAUAAUGACGGUACUUGAGGAGGAAGCCCCGGCUAACUACGUGCCAGCAGCCGCGGUAAUACGUAGGGGGCUAGCGUUAUCCGGAAUUACUGGGCGUAAAGGGUGCGUAGGUGGUUUCUUGAGUCAGAGGUGAAAGGCUACGGCUCAACCGUAGUAAGCCUUUGAAACUGGGAAACUUGAGUGCAGGUGAGGAGAGUGGAAUUCCUAGUGUAGCGGUGAAAUGCGUAGAUAUUAGGAGGAACACCAGUUUCGAAGGCGGCUCUCUGGACUGUAACUGACACUGAGGCACGAAAGCGUGGGGAGCAAAC